rnacentral:rRNA from 1 species
UACGAAGGGGGCUAGCGUUGUUCGGAAUUACUGGGCGUAAAGCGCGCGCAGGCGGCUAUCCAAGUCAGUGGUGAAAGCCCGGAGCUCAACUCCGGAACUGCCAUUGAAACUGUUUAGCUUGAGGACGAGAGAGGUGAGUGGAAUUCCCAGUGUAGAGGUGUAAUUCGUAGAUAUUGGGAAGAACUCCAGUGGCGAAGGCGGCUCACUGGCUCGUAUCUGACGCUCAGGCGCGAUAGCGUGGGGAUCAACCAGU